rnacentral:lncRNA from 1 species
CGGAUGGGCUUAACUGUAGAUGACUGCUCAUUUCCUCUCCAUGUUGCUGCUGCAUCAUUAUCGUAAUUCCUAUUCGCUUUCUCCUUAGAUUUGUUGGCUGCGGCCCUCUGGAGCGCCCUCAAUAGAUCGGAACCACUCAGCCGCUGCUCCGCCUCACUGCCUUCGUCUAUGCCGACGGCCACUAACUGACGCUUUGGCUUUGGGGCGGAGGAGAUGCCGCCCAAGGACAGGGGUAGGGUUCGUUUAGGAGGAGACGAAUCGCCGUUCGUUUGGGAGGAGAUGCGUCUGGUGUAGGGUUUUCAAAGUGAGGAGUUUGUUUGGAAAGACGUGGGUGGGAGAGAGUAAAUUCCUUAAUUACACGCGUAAAUUUAGGAGCGACAGUUCAGUGAAUAUUGAAACUGACACAAACACCCCUAAACGUAUUUUUCACAAAUUUUUUAGCUUAUUCAGAAAAAAUAAAAACGGGAUUAAUAAUUAAUUAGAUGUAAUCCUGGCCAUUAAUCUAUUCAGAUUGUAUGGUUAAGAUUAAUUCUUUAAUCUUUAGACAAAGGGGAUUCUUUGUAGAUCCCCACCCUAUAUAGACAUAUAUAAAAGUGAGUUUGCUUUUACUUCGCUUCUCAAUUCACAGAAAAAAUAUAACCAGAUUGACAAACCACAUUAAAUAUUUGAUUUUUAAGAUUCUUGGAUAAAAAGUGCUUUGCUUUUAAUUAGGCUAAGCUACUGGUGUGCUCAUAGUGAGAUUGAGUGACCAAAUAUAUUCAUUCAUCUUUAAAUUCUCUUGUCAAACAGAAACACACAACAGAAUCCAACAACACAAAAGAAACAGACUUCAAAGGUAUCAGGGAUAGAAUAAAUUAUACCUCAUCGUCAGCCUCUUCUUCAUCCUCCCCAUCCUCUUCAACAUAAUAACAAUUUGUAUUUUCUUUACUCAUUCCUUCAUGAUUCAAACACCAGAUUCCAUAUUACAAAUACAAUUCUCAACACGCAAAUACGCAAUGCCACCAUAUAUCAAUUACAGCCAGCCAUCACAGGUUACAUUCUACAUAUGAAUGUGUUGUGUCAUUUGCUAUAUAUUAUCGGGAGCAUCUCUAACUAACAUGUCAGAGCAAGAUAAAAGCUCAAAGAAUCCUCACUUGAAGACAUAUCAGCCAGCAAUUUUAAAUACAUGAAAUGCAUAUUUUUUUCUAUUACAUUACUUCCCAAGCACCCUAUAUCUGGGAGUAAUCAAGGAUAAGAAUAUAAAAUAAAAGGAGGAAGGAAAAACCACAUUAAGAAAAUAAGACACCAAACUCCUCUUGCAUCCAUCUAUCAAAUACAAAUGACAAUUCUUACAUCUUUUCUUCCAAUUUUCUCCAACUUACCUAAACCACAGAAGCCUUGAAUCUUCACCCCCACAAUUUAAAAGAAGGGCCAGGGAGAACAGUUGAUCAGAGCCAUCAUGUUAUUCUGGUGAAAAAUUAAAUAUUGUCUAUAUACAAUAAAAAGUCAUUUAAAUAUCUUAUGCUUUACCCAUUCAGAUUAGAACUACAAAACACAGACAAUAUCUGGGUAAAUUCGCAGAGAAUAAAAAACACAAGAUUCAUUGAAAUAAAUAAAUAGAUGACCACACAUAUUUAUCUUUGAAACUAUACAUUCAAUCAAAAAAGGAUUAGGCAAAAACUAACUUGUAACUGAAAAUUUUGGCGUACAUGACUUUUUCCUCUCGCCGGCGUGCAAACUUGUUUGGCUUAAGGGGAGGGCUGUGACGGGUAUGGGGUAGAUGGUUCAUUUCCUCAUUCAUUGAAUUUAUACAAAAGAUCAAGGUUUUUGAAUAGUUUAGAAAUAUAAAUUGAGAUGAAAUUAGGGAGAAAAUUAACAUGUAGAAAAUCAAGUACCUCUCAAAUUUGAUUAAUCACAAACUGAUUCGUGAAUCGUAGAUGGACACAGCGAGGGAGAUUGUUUCGGUGAUCGACGAAUUUGAAUGCUGAGAUGCGAGGAAAAUCUUUGAGCUUCGUGAGAUUUGCUGAGAUUGAAAUUUGUAUGUAGACUAAUUCAUGANNN